GACGGAGGGGGCUAGCGUUGUUCGGAAUUACUGGGCGUAAAGAGCAUGUAGGCGGAUUAAUAAGUUGGAAGUGAAAGCCCGGGGCUUAACCUCGGAACUGCUUUCAAAACUGUUAAUCUAGAGUGUAGUAGGGGAUGACGGAAUUCCUAGUGUAGAGGUGAAAUUCUUAGAUAUUAGGAGGAACACCGGUGGCGAAGGCGGUCAUCUGGGCUACAACUGACGCUGAGAUGCGAAAGCGUGGGGAGCAAACAGG
rnacentral:rRNA from 1 species